rnacentral:rRNA from 1 species
AUGGUUUGAUAAUGAAAGACUUUGGUUGGUUAUAGAUGGGCAUGCGUGACAUUAGCUAGUUGGUAAGGUAACGGCUUACCAAGGCGACGAUGUCUAGGGGAACUGAGAGGUUAAUCCCCCACACUGGUACUGAGACACGGUCCAGACUCCUACGGGAGGCAGCAGUGAGGAAUAUUGGUCAAUGGCCGGAAGGCUGAACCAGCCAAGUAGCGUGAAGGAUGAAGGUUCUAUGGAUUGUAAACUUCUUUUAUACGGGAAUAAAACCACCUACGUGUAGGUGCUUGUAUGUACCGUAUGAAUAAGCAUCGGCUAACUCCGUG